GAGAGCCGGAUGCCGGGAAACCGGCACGUCCGGUUCGGCGGGAGGCCACGCGGAAAAGGACCCGUCUCGGCGGGCACCUCGCCGCGUGGCCGACCCCAC
rnacentral:ncRNA from 1 species